UACAGAGGGUGCGAGCGUUGUUCGGAAUUACUGGGCGUAAAGCGCGCGUAGGUGGUGUGUUAAGUCUGCCGGUCAAAAUGCCGAGGCUCAACCUCGUUGCACGCCGGGGGGAUACUGGCACGCUAGAGACAAGUAGAGGCAAGCGGAAAUUCCGGGGUGUAGCGGGUGAAAAUGCGUAGAUAUCAGGAGGAACACCGGUGGUGUAGACGGCUUUCUGGACCGUAACUGACGCUGAGACACGAAAAGCGUGGGGUAGCAAAACAGGG
rnacentral:rRNA from 1 species